GAUGAACGCUAGCUACAGGCUUAACACAUGCAAGUCGAGGGGAAACGAUAUUGGAAGCUUGCUUCCGAUAGGCGUCGACCGGCGCACGGGUGAGUAACGCGUAUCCAACCUGCCCAUCACUUGGGGAUAACCUUGCGAAAGUAAGACUAAUACCCAAUGAUAUCUCUAGAAGACAUCUGAAGGAGAUUAAAGAUUUAUCGGUGAUGGAUGGGGAUGCGUCUGAUUAGCUUGUUGGCGGGGUAACGGCCCACCAAGGCGAAGAUCAGUAGGGGUUCUGAGAGGAAGGUCCCCCACAUUGGAACUGAGACACUGUCCAAACUCCUACGGGAGGAAGCAGUGAGGAAUAUUGGUCAAUGGACGAGAGUCUGAACCAGCCAAGUAGCGUGCAGGAUUACGGCCCUAUGGGUUGUAAACUGCUUUUAUAAGGGAAUAAAGUGAGAGUCGUGACUCUUUUUGCAUGUACCUUAUGAAUAAGGACCGGCUAAUUCCGUGCCAGCCGCCGCCGUAAGAC
rnacentral:rRNA from 1 species